rnacentral:rRNA from 1 species
AUUGAACGCUGGCGGCAGGCCUAACACAUGCAAGUCGAGCGAGCGGCGGACGGGUGAGUAAUGUAUGGGGACUGCCCGAUAGAGGGGGGUAACUACUGGAAACGGUGGCUAAUACCGCAUACUAUCGGAUAACCCAUAUAGGAUUAGCUAGUAGGUAAGGGAAUGGCUUACGUAGGGCACGAUCCCUAGCUGGGCUGAGAGGAUGAUCAGCCACAUUGGAACUGAGCUACGGCCCAGCCUCCUCCGGAGGCAGCAGUGGGGAAUAUUGCACAAGGUGCGCAAGCCUGAUGCAGCCAGGCCGCGUGUAUGAAGAAGGCCCUAGGGUUGUAAAGUACUUUCAGUCGGGAGGCGUUACCGACAGAAGAAGCACCGGCUAACUCCGUGCCAGCCGCCGCGGUAAUUC